AGGGUCUGUCAACAUAAUCACCCCUAUUGCAUUAUAUUUCUUAUAAUUUUCUCUCUUUCUCAAGGUCGUUGUGUCCUGUAAACUUCUCUCCACAUGUUGGCUGGUUCUGAUGGUGUUGACAUGACCUGGGGCCUCCGGGAGCUGGAGGCAAAGCCCCCUGUGCUGGGCUCCGGCUCCGCUGUGCUCCUUGCCCUCCUCUGGUGCUGCCCUGGCUCAGGAAAGUGCAAUAUUCGCACAACGUGUUUCUCUCCCAUUGUAAAUUGUCAAAGUUCCUAACAGGCCUGGCAGGGAACACAAUUCAGAAGGAGGACUGAGUUCCUGAAGAACGUCACCAUGGGGAGUGUUCAUCUCGGGUUGCAAGAUAACACCCUUCCGGUGAAGGGCAGCACAGAUGCAACUUUGAGGAUUUGUCCCGUCACAGCAAUGUUACUUCCAAGUGUAUGUGGCAGGAUUAUGAAGUUCCCCGCGUGUUCUCUUCAAGAACAGUGAUGCCAGAGUGGACCAUCUGGUGUGUGAGGCUGCAAGGUGGUACCCAGAGCCUGAGGCAAGCUGGUGAGAUGCCUAACGGACAGAAUUUAAAGCCACACUCUGAAAACAGCAGAACAGAUGGAAACAGCCUGUUCUCCACUUCAUCUUCAGUCCUAGUAACUAAACUAAAAAAG
rnacentral:lncRNA from 1 species